rnacentral:rRNA from 1 species
UACGAGGGGGGCAAGCGUUGUUCGGAAUUAUUGGGCGUAAAGGGUGCGUAGGCGGUCUGACAAGUCUGAUGUGAAAUCUAUGGGCUCAACCCAUAGUCUGCAUCGGAAACUGUCGGGCUGGAGUAUGGGAGAGGUGAGUGGAAUUUCCGGUGUAGCGGUGAAAUGCGCAGAUAUCAGGAAGAACACCAAUGGCGAAGGCAGCUCUCUGGGACGGUACUGACACUGAGACGCGAAAGCGUGGGGAGCGAACAGG